AAGGAUCAUUACAUGAUAUAACGGGGGGUAGGAACCACGCAAGUGCGCCCUGCCCUGUCCGCAUAUUCUACCCAUGAUUUUGCGUACCAUUUGUUUCCUCGGUGGGCUUGCCCGCCGAUAUGGACACUAUACAACCCUUUGUAAUUGCAGUCAGCGUCAGAAAACUAUAAUAAUUACAACUUUCAACAACGGAUCUCUUGGUUCUG
rnacentral:misc_RNA from 1 species